GCCGGAGAGCAGACAUUAGGAAUGAUGUGUAGUGCAAGGCGCUUAGCCUCACAGCAGAGAGCUAGCCUUACCCAUCCCUGGGCCCUCUGUCUCUGAUCGCCCACCA